AGGAAAGGGACCAGGAGCAGCUGGCUUGCCUUGUGAACAAUGACUUGGGAUCUUUCUGUCCUGUCUCUUGCAGUUGGUACCAACAAAGAGCUCUGCUGCCUCGUCUAUACCUCCUGGCAGAUUCCACAAAAGUUCAUAGUUGACUAUUCUGAAACCAGCCCCCAGUGCCCCAAGCCAGGUGUCAUCCUCCUAACCAAGAGAGGCCGGCAGAUCUGUGCUGACCCCAAUAAGAAGUGGGUCCAGAAAUACAUCAGCGACCUGAAGCUGAAUGCCUGAGGGGCCUGGAAGCUGCGAGGGCCCAGUGAACUUGGUGGGCCCAGGAGGGAACAGGAGCCUGAGCCAGGGCAAUGGCCCUGCCACCCUGGAGGCUACCUCUUCUAAGAGUCCCAUCUGCUAUGCCCAGCCACAUUAACUAACUUUAAUCUUAGUUUAUGCAUCAUAUUUCAUUUUGAAAUUGAUUUCUAUUGUUGAGCUGCAUUAUGAAAUUAGUAUUUUCUCUGACAUCUCAUGACAUUGUCUUUAUCAUCCUUUCCCCUUUCCCUUCAACUCUUCGUACAUUCAAUGCAUGGAUCAAUCAGUGUGAUUAGCUUUCUCAGCAGACAUUGUGCCAUAUGUAUCAAAUGACAAAUCUUUAUUGAAUGGUUUUGCUCAGCACCACCUUUUAAUAUAUUGGCAGUACUUAUUAUAUAAAAGGUAAACCAGCAUUCUCACUGUGA
rnacentral:lncRNA from 1 species